UAAAAGAGCUCUUCUGGAUCCUGAUGAAGUGACAGCAUUCUACACAUUCCAGUGAGUUGAGAAAGUUUUCCUGAGAACAGCAGCUAUGUUACAUGUGAAGUACCACUAAACACGCGUAUCUCUAUGUUUUCAAAUUCCAGGAUAUUUGCCGGGAUUCCUCAGGGAGGAAUGACACUUGAAGACCAGCUGAUAUGCAUGGGAGCACUCAGAAUGGAAAGUAGACCUGCUACUUUAAAAGGUUUUGCUUAAGAAUGGAAAAUACAAAAUUCAGGAGCGUUCCUCCUGUGUCACAGCCCUUUUUUCUGCCCUGUGAAUUACUCAUGGAUCUGGAAGAAUACUUAGAAAAAAAUAAAAAUAGCCAUGCGAAAAAGGCAUUCAAAUCUGGUUAUCUCAAUAUGUAAUCCAUCCUUGAAUAAGAAGAAUAAAUCAAAUGGAAAAUAUACUCAGAGAGCUAGUGUAAAUGUUUUAAUGGUCUGAGAUAGGGAGCCAAGAGCCCUUGUGAUAACAUCAACCUUGCCACCAGUUGACUACAUUGCCUUGGAAAAAUCAAUUUUGUUGUCCUUACGUGUUUCUCCAUCAUCACAAUGAUUCCUGCCCAUGCCUUUUCCACACAAAGAUCUGUACAGAGAAAGUCAUCCCAUGCAAAAAUCUCUGCAAGGAAUUAAGAGCGCCUGCCACUUCCAGAACACUUACACAGAAUUAACAGCCGAUUGUCAGCGACAUCGAUAUCCUCCCCUCUUCAAUGAACUUUCAGAGGAAUUCCUGUAAAUAACAUCCUUUUGUGGCCAGGAAAUCCUUCAGCGCAUGACUCUGCAGACACUGAGAAGAGGGGAGCAGAGCUAGAAGCUAGAGCUUCUGCAGAGAGAACAAGCCCACGUGCAUAUGGCACUGGGAUCACCAGUCCCUAACGAUGCCACAUGGUCCAAGGGUCUAAACUUAAAGAUAUGGAAGGUUUACAACAAGCUGAGAGAAACUCACCUAUUUCUAUAAGGUCCUGGGAUGACAGUUCACAAGGAAAUACUAUACACAGGAAUGUCAUGUACAUGAUGUAGGUCACAUGUGAGGCACCAAUGUAAAUCUCAUACAAGUACAGAACAGACUACUUACCACUCCUAGAAUAAGUAAAAUAUAAAUCAGCUCCUUUUUCAAAGGCUUGCCUAGUUUUUGACUGGACAAGGAAUCAAAGCACUUAUGGGAAAUGAAGCCUAUUCUAAUUAAUCUGACUUCCAGUGAAGUGUUACAUACUUUAUGCUGAAAAAUAGCUCAUUAGGUUGCAAAAAUGUAAUAUGCUUGGACCUUGUACAAAGCAUCUGACAAUGUCCCAUAUGACAUUCUUGUCUUUAAAUUGGUGAGAGAGGUAUUUCAUGGAUGGACCCCUCAGUGAGUAAGAAAGUGGCUGGAUGGCUGCACUCAAAGAGUUAUGGUCAAAUGAAGGCUGGUAACAAUUGGUGCUCCUCAGGGGUUGGUACUGGAACCAGUACUGCUGAACAUCUUUCUCAGUGACAUGGACAGUGGAACUGAGUGGACUCUCAGCAAGUUUCUGAGCAACACCAAGCUCUGUGAUGCAGUGGGCACGCUGGGGCGAAAGGAUGGACAGCUCUGAGAGGUGGGCUUGUGUGAAUCUCAAAACGUUCAAUGAGACCAAGUGCAAGGUUGUCCACUUGAGGCAGGAUGAAUCCAAGCUCAAAUACAAGCCGGGUGGAGAAUGGAAAGGAAAUUUUCAACAGAAUGAGAGAGUUGGAGUUUUUCAGCAGGAGAAGAGGAUGCUCCAGGGUGACCUUUAAGCAGCCUACAAGUACCUAAUGGGGGCACAAGGAGAAAACUGCACAUGUAAAAAGAAAUAAUGGAAUAGAUGACUUCCAUAUUUUGCAGCUAAAACCAAUCACAAAAAUCUCUGCCCUAAAACCAAAAAAACAAACAAAGAAAAAACAAAGUACUUAACGCCAGAACGAGCAUGUGAGUUGGAACUGAAAGCAAGGCAACAAGGGUUGCUGGUGACUAAGGGACAGUCCAAGUACAUCCAAAAAUGCAGUAAAUAUCUAUGACAGUUAAAGCUCACAACAAGAAUUUGUUUCCCACCAACUGAAGUAUGGACCUGCUGUAGCUGCAAACCCCAUCACUGCCUAAAGCAGUUGCUUCUCUUCUCCGUACAUCCUGACGACUUCCACAUCAACUCCCAUCCUCUUUGGAGAAGCUGCCUAAUAAUACCUGCAAGGCUAUCUGAACUGUAGAAGAAAAUAACAGCAACCUGCUCUUGUUUAUUUUCUACUGUGUUCUAGUAAUAACAAAAUCACAACACUGUGUACAGUAAAUCAGGAGUAUAAAACUUCCUUAAAAAGAUGCCAAUACCUAAACUGUUUAUAUUGACAAAGGUAAUAGAAAAACAGUAUCAAACUUGCAUGUUUAUGUAACCUCCUGUUUUUAUCCAAGUGUUAAUGUUAUACUGUGGGCUUUUGCCUAAAGCAGAUAACGGUAAGGACUGAUUUCAUUGAUGAGUUUAAAAAGGCAGCAUUCACUGCUACUGAGGGUCUCCUCCUCGCAGCUGUUGCAGCGAUGGCUUGUACUUAAUGAAAUUUUCUCCCUCUUUCCUCUGAAAACUUAACACCUAUAAUUUAACAUUUAAAACACAGCCUCUAUUUAUGUAUCUUGAAGUUCAACAAAAAUUCACAUGCUCUGACAGCAUUUUAUUUCUCGUAACAAAAUCAUUAAAUUCAUGCAGCAACAACUGAACUGCUCCAUACACAGUAUAUAGUUAAAACUGCACAACUGAAGCCAAAAUAUGCACAGCUAAAAGGAAUGUUACAGGGGGGCCUCUCUUAGUGAACAAAGCAGGCUCAGUUUGGCUCUUUUUCCCUAGCGCUACCACAUCCGCACAUCGUUAGUUGGAAAAUUCCAGAUAUAUGCUGUAAUUUUUUGUGCUUUUUUUUCCCAGUACACUUGAGGCUUUAGUGUCCAGAUGCCAUUUUCCCCCCCUUAUCUGUCCCUGGUAGUUUGGGUCUUUGCCAGUUGUGGUCAACAAUUAAUACAGCAAAAGAAAAAUACAGUACACUCCCUGGCAACUGGCAGAGGCUCACAGGAAAUACCAAAUAAAAACUUUAUUAUGUAUUGUUUAACUAUUUUGUUUGCCUGUGGGCCACCCUGUUGUUGGUGUAAUUUAGAAAAGCAUGCUCCAUCUGGAUAAUCUGUGCGCAGGCUCAUUGUUCCCAGAAUCUGUCACGCACAAUCACUGCUUCAGCCUGUGGCCCUCUGCAGAAAGAAGCAAAGGCAUGGCAGCCCUCCAGCCUGCAUUCCUUUUCAUUAGACAACUUGUGACCAAAUGUUAGAAUAGAAGAGUAACCUUUUAAUAUUCAUGUAAUUAAUUUACUUUCCCCUUUAAUUAUAAACCUUCACGUGAAAAGAAGAAAAUAAAAAGACUUUCCUUCAUGAUUCUAUUCCAUUCCCCAUCCUUUCUGCUUGUUUUUUGGGACACGGAAGGUGCCAGGAGUAACACAUAGGUACCAGCACCCCUGAA